rnacentral:misc_RNA from 1 species
UUGGCCGAAAGGUCUGAGAGAAAGAUCGUCCUAAAUUAUGUCGAGAACGCCAUGGUGAAGGAGCUUAAGAACCAGGCGAUCUCUCGUAGAUAUUCAUGCUUGGAUGUGAUUACGGCCGAACUAAAGUGGUGGAUAAUGAACGUGAUUGCCCAUGAGAAAAUUCAGCUGUAACUCUUUGAUCUCGGCCCUAGGACAGGUAAAGCCCAGCUCUUUGGUCUUUUAGUCAUAGCGAUCUCACUAAUUUGCUUUUCUGUGCAGAUGUGGCAAGAGGCGACGCCGAAACUCGAAAGUGGAAGAAGGAGCUCG